GAUCCUGGCUCAGGAUAAACGCUGGCGGCGCACAUAAGACAUGCAAGUCGAACGGAAGUCGUUAUAAAAAGGAUUGAAGAUUUAUCUGAUUGAGAUUUUAUAACAAUGGCUUUAGUGGCGGACUGGUGAGUAACGCGUGAGCAACCUGCCUACUAGAGGGGGAUAACAGUGAGAAAUCAUUGCUAAUACCGCAUAUGCCAUGAACAUCACAUGAUGAAAAUGGGAAAAGAG
rnacentral:rRNA from 1 species